CNCUGGCGGCAUGCCUUNACAUGCAAGUCGAACGGUAACGCGGGGCAACCUGGCGACGAGUGGCGAACGGGUGAGUAAUAUAUCGGAACGUGCCCAGUCGUGGGGGAUAACUGCUCGAAAGAGCAGCUAAUACCGCAUACGACCUGAGGGUGAAAGCGGGGGAUCUUCGGACCUCGCGCGAUUGGAGCGGCCGAUAUCAGAUUAGGUAGUUGGUGGGGUAAAGGCCUACCAAGCCGACGAUCUGUAGCUGGUCUGAGAGGACGACCAGCCACACUGGGACUGAGACACGGCCCAGACUCCUACGGGAGGCAGCAGUGGGGAAUUUUGGACAAUGGGGGCAACCCUGAUCCAGCCAUGCCGCGUGCGGGAAGAAGGCCUUCGGGUUGUAAACCGCUUUUGUCAGGGAAGAAAUCCUUUGGGCUAAUAACUCGGAGGGAUGACGGUACCUGAAGAAUAAGCACCGGCUAACUACGUGCCAGCAGCCGCGGUAAUACGUAGGGUGCAAGCGUUAAUCGGAAUUACUGGGCGUAAAGCGUGCGCAGGCGGUUAUGCAAGACAGAUGUGAAAUCCCCGGGCUCAACCUGGGAACUGCAUUUGUGACUGCAUGGCUAGAGUACGGUAGAGGGGGA
rnacentral:rRNA from 1 species